rnacentral:rRNA from 1 species
AUUGAACGCUGGCGGCAGGCCUAACACAUGCAAGUCGAGCGAGCGGCGGACGGGUGAGUAAUGUAUGGGGACUUCCCGCUUGCGGGGGAUAACUACUGGAAACGGUGUCUUAUACCGCAUUCCGUCGGAUAUCCCAUAUUGUAUUAGCUAGUAGGUGAGGUAAUGGCCUACCUAGGCGACGAUCCCUAGCUGGUCUGAGAGGAUGAUCAGCCACGGUGCGACUGAGACGCGGCCCAGACUCCGACGGAGGCAGCAGGGGGAAAUAUUGCACAGGGGGCGCAAGGCUGUUGCAGCCAGGCCGCGUGAAUGAAGAAGGGCCUAGGGUUGUAAAGUACUGCCAGUCGGGAGGCGUUACCGACAGAAUAAGCACCGGCUAACUCCGUGCCAGCAGCCGCGGUAAUUC